CAAAGAAUAGUUUAGUACAAAAUCUUA
rnacentral:tRNA from 1 species